AACGAACGCUGGCGGCAUGCCUAACACAUGCAAGUCGAACGAGACCUUCGGGUCUAGUGGCGCACGGGUUCGUAACGCGUGGGAACCUGCCCUUAGGUUCGGAAUAACUCCCCGAAAGGGGUGCUAAUACCGGAUAAUGUCUUCGGACCAAAGAUUUAUCGCCUUUGGAUGUGCCCGCGUUGGAUUAGCUAGUUGGUAGGGUAAAAGCCUACCAAGGCGACGAUCCAUAGCUGGUCUGAGAGGAUGAUCAGCCACACUGGGACUGAGACACGGCCCAGACUCCUACGGGAGGGAGCAGUGGGGAAUAUUGGACAAUGGGCGAAAGCCUGAUCCAGCAAUGCCGCGUGAGUGAUGAAGGCCUUAGGGUUGUAAAGCUCUUUUACCCGGGAUGAUAAUGACAGUACCGGGAGAAUAAGCUCCGGCUAACUCCGUG
rnacentral:rRNA from 1 species